CAAGCCUGUUUCAGGAAGAAAAAAAUGAUAAAUACAUGAGAAAAUAUGAAAAUAACAGAGAAUUCAGCAUUUCUGGACAGCAUCUGAGGGUUUUCCAUCUUUAACCACAGUUGGUUUGGAGCCAUCAGCAUGUGACAGCAGAUCUUCUUCUCCAUCUUCAUCAUCCUCACAAACAUGCUGCUACCAUCAAGGCCUCUGUCCCAUUUCUUCAAGUAUGCAACUAUGUGGCCUAUGAACUGAUGUGGGAAGUGACUAUGAAGCUGUGAACUAUUGCCAAGUCCACAUUUGCUCAGAAUCUUCCCCUUCUUUCCUUCUGAGUCAAAGCAGCAGCUGCGGUGAUCUUUGUUCAGCUCCAGGCUGUCAGGCAGCAGUUUGUGGAUGAAGAGCUGAUGAAGACGCUGGUUGGACUUUGGAGACCAGAGGAGCUCUUUAGUCCACGGAGGCUGUUGGUCUGACAUGAGGACCGUCACUGAUCCACCAACUGCUAGAAUAAGGAGAAAAAUGGCUUUUCACUGCCUUUGUUCAUUGGAUUUGGCAGCUGGAAUAUUUUCUGAUUAAACUCAGAAAAUUAAAAAUAAAAUAAGUUUUUCUUCUG